AUGCCCCCACUCUCCUUGCAACCAAGGAGCCCACACCCCUUCCCCCAGUGUCUCUUCCAUCAGUCCAAGGCUGAGGCAACCCAGUUGCUUCCGAAGCAAGAUGACCAAGUUUGGAAGAGACGGCUGAAGCAUCUGUCCCUGGCAGAAGCUCUGUCUUGCGCUCAGACACUCUACCCAGACUUUGUUCCUGGCGGCACCAGAGAACUUCCCCAGCCCGGGGAGGAAUCUCUGAGGAUCACAGGCCUUAUGCUAAGGAUUUCACGUUGCCUUAUCUCCAUUCAUCUUCACAAGGACCUGAGAGAUGGCUUCUGUGAUUGUCCACAUUUUAAGGAUAAGAAGCUGAGGCUCAUGGAGUGCGAAGUCACACAGGAAAUGGCCAAGUGGGAUCUGAACACAGUUAAAUUGAAGUUUUCAACCCAAGAUUUAGAUCAUAUCUGACUCAAAGGCAUUAUUAGAUGUUGGCUCCCUUCCCUAGGCUUUGGGAGUCAAGGAUUCUGGGGUUUGCAGAGUGACACCACAGGGCAUCUCGAAUCCCACCUCAAAACUCACCCACAGCCUCUCCCUCGGGCUCUCCCCACGCAACGGGCUGCCUUGGGAAACACUGACUUCCCAGCCGUGUGACUCCAAGCUUCAAUCACAGUCUCUUACGUGGAUGAAAUGACACUCCCCUCCAGGGACCAGCACAGCAAUUUGUUUUGGCUGUGUUCAAAGCCAAGCUCAGUGAUGAGGGCCUGAUUUCCCACACCCUGGAGUGACUCAGAGCAUCAGAGAUGAAAUGAAAGGUUUCGAAGGAGAGAAGAUGGAGCCCUGCCUCCGUUCAGAUGUGUGGUGCUGGGAAAUUUAUCGCCCUGUGUUCUCAGGGUGAGAAAUGGGAGCCAACCCAGGGGCCUGGCAAUAGGAGAAGUGUUUCCACAUCAGCCACUCUUUUGCAUCUCUUUUAAAAUAGGCGCGUGCAUUUAUUCUAUCUGUUGAUUCGUGAAUUCAUCAAGUGUUUAUUGACUCCCUGCGAUGUGCAGAACACUGGGGAAGAUCCUAGUGAUGCAGCAGAGGACAGGAUGGUGGCACCCUGGCCAGGGGCACACCAGUCCAUCAGGACAGACCAGCAAUUCAUGGGUAAUUCCAACAUGCACAAGGCGAGAGGACUUACAGGUGGCCAUCCUAUAUAGAGGCCUUCCAGCACAAUUGCAGGGUAAAUUUAAUGACCUGGGAAAAUCCUUAUGCUAAAGCAUUAAGUGAAAAAGCAGGCUACAAAAUUUCUCAUGGAGCAUAAUUCCAACUUUAUUAUAAAAAUAUAUGUGUACAUGAAUAAGGAAAAAGACUCAUAAGGAAAUGCAUAAAAAUGUCAAC
rnacentral:lncRNA from 1 species